GACGAACGCUGGCGGCGUGCCUAAUACAUGCAAGUAGAACGCUGAAGGAGGAGCUUGCUUCUCCGGAUGAGUUGCGAACGGGUGAGUAACGCGUAGGUAACCUGCCUGGUAGCGGGGGAUAACUAUUGGAAACGAUAGCUAAUACCGCAUAACAGUAGAUAUUGCAUGAUAUCUGCUUGAAAGGUGCAAUUGCAUCACUACCAGAUGGACCUGCGUUGUAUUAGCUAGUUGGUGAGGUAACGGCUCACCAAGGCGACGAUACAUAGCCGACCUGAGAGGGUGAUCGGCCACACUGGGACUGAGACACGGCCCAGACUCCUACGGGAGGCAGCAGUAGGGAAUCUUCGGCAAUGGACGGAAGUCUGACCGAGCAACGCCGCGUGAGUGAAGAAGGUUUUCGGAUCGUAAAGCUCUGUUGUAAGAGAAGAACGAGUGUGAGAGUGGAAAGUUCACACUGUGACGGUAUCUUACCAGAAAGGGACGGCUAACUACGUGCCAGCAGCCGCGGUAAUACGUAGGUCCCGAGCGUUGUCCGGAUUUAUUGGGCGUAAAACGAGCGCAGGCGGUUAGAUAAGUCUGAAGUUAAAGGCUGUGGCUUAACCAUAGUACGCUUUGGAAACUGUUUAACUUGAGUGCAAGAGGGGAGAGUGGAAUUCCAUGUGUAGCGGUGAAAUGCGUAUAUAUAUGGAGGAACACCGGUGGCGAAAGCGGCUCUCUGGCUUGUUCUGACGCUGAGGCUCGAAAGCGUGGGAGCAACAGG
rnacentral:rRNA from 1 species